ACCAUGAUGGCAGAGUGGUUAAGGUAUUGAACUUAAAAUCCAGUGGAUGAACAUCCAUGUGGGUUUGAACCCCACUCCUGGUA
rnacentral:tRNA from 1 species